AUUCAGUCCCUAAAGAUAAAAACUUGCUCUGCACUCCCCCCUUUUUCCUUCUUCCUUCUUCUUCCUCCCUAAUCGUAUUUCUCUUCAUUCUGUUUCUUUUCGCGCAAAAAAUUCUUGUGAAGCCGUUGUCCUCUUCCGUGAGCUCGAAAGCCACAUCCCGCACAGGUAAGCUUCUUGUCUGGUUCGAUUGAAAAAUUUCCUAGGGCACUCUCCGAAUCCUGUUCCGGUUCCCUGUCGUCGGCAGUCGGUUGAUUCGGUCGAAGAACUACCGAAGGCUGUCACCGGUUCCGUGACCCGUAUUUCUUGGUCUCCGGUGAAAUUAGAUGUACCAAGUGUGUUUUUGUGUCGAUUGAUUCGGUCGAAGAACUACCGAAGGCUGUCACCGGUUCCCUGGCCCGUCUUUCUUGUUCUCCGGCGAAAUUAGAUGUACCAGGUUCCGAUGGACAUGGAGCAAAGUAGUCUGAAAUUAUUAAUUAUAUGUUCCUACGAAGGUGAGCAUCAUGUAAUUCGUUUAGAAGAGGGCACCACGCUGGAGGAUCUUUACCGGAAUAUAUCGAAAAGAUGGAAUAAAGUGAGUAUUGAGGCGGUAAAACUCCAAUAUAUUGCACCUAUUCAGAAAAGCUACGUGACGUUAUUGUGUGACGAUGAUGUCGCAAAUAUGUGGAGAAUGCAUAUCUUGUUAAAGGUAAUGUUUGUGGAUAUGAUUGCACGGUGCAGAAGCGAGCACCAGAGCGUGCCUCUCCGAAGCACGGUUGGACGCAGGUAGUAAGUAUCCACCUCCGCGAUUUUGUAGUAGCGCGGUGCAGAACGAACCACUGAAGAGAUUGUAAAGAUAUGUAGUGGGGAUAUAACGU